UGUUUGUGGCCGCAUCUGGUUAUUGGUAUGUGCGCCACGGUGUUCCUGUUUUUGUGAACAGUUUGGUGUACUGUUUAUCUCUUCCGUUUUGUCGGUCCUCUUCUUCGGAAGGUCUACAUGUUCACUAGCACCAACGCCAUCGUCCUUGUGUCCAGAACUCCACACAGCUCCAGAAAUCCAGAGCAAUCCGGCACCUGUUCUCUCUAUACUUUGGAUCAGAGAUUUAGCAUGCCUCGCAAUGCCGGUUCAGCACAAUUGGGUUGAUAUAUGUACCAGAUAGAGGUUGAGGGGGCACACUGUUGAUUCAGGUAUGGGCUUUCCACCGACGGAUGCUACAUUCUUUUGGUUCACCUUAUCUUAUUCAGCUAUUAUUUCUGUUUGGUUGAUCAUGUUAUGUUUGAGGUUUUGAUGUUAUGUAGAGGCACCCUCUAUUUUUUUGAAGUCGACGAGUAAAAAGUUCCAAAAUACAAUUGAGGCAUGUUCGGUCGGUAAUAAGUUAUGAGGUAUAUAUCUUCUUAUUUAAUUGACGAAGUCAUAAGAGUGUGUUACCUUGUGGGUAGAGGGAUGUUGGACUCGCUAGCUAGAGGCGUCAAGACAUUGAAGACAAAAACUUUAGAAGUUCGUACCUGACGGAGAGGCGGAGAGCUGAGCAAGGAUGAAUUGGUGGCAUUCCAAGUGCCUCCUUGCAUUCCUCAAGUUGGUGAUGAUGCUCAUGCUGACAUAUGUGCCCAAUUGUUUGUAAAGGUGAUGUAUUUUAUGGUGCAUUUCAUUUAAUAUAUUCUGCAUAGUUUAAGUUCUAUUCCAGAUCUGCAUUAGUUCAGCAAAGUUGAUGGCAUGUUUUGUGUAAGUGUUGUUCUUGCCCUAUUUAGGACAUUGCAGGUUGUCAAUGAAGCGACUGUGUCAGUUGACGGAUAUCAUGCUGGUAGACGAGAGGCGGUUAGGAAAGCAGCAUCGAGUCUAAAUUUGUAAAGGGAGCCUGCCCGCUGACAUGACCAUCUUCAGUAAAGCAUGCCUCCUCCCUAAAAAAACCAUGCAUGCUCAGUUGUUCAUUGUUUGUUGCUGUUGUUGUUUUGUUCUACCACUUCCAACAACAAAUAAAAAUCCAGACAAAGAAAGUAAUCAUUUUUUUUACAAACUGUACAUGUAUACCCAUUAAAAAUAUUUUCAAGAUGAGGCUAUUGCUUUGUAUUCCAUUUUCUGAAUAAUAAUCUCAUCUACAAUAUUAUCAUCAUAUUUUAGUUUCCUACGAGUUUCAUGGCUUUUCUUCAUAGCAGCACUGAUGUUUACGCAUGCCCUCGAUGGAUUUAUCAUAACGUAAAGUUACGUUAUUCUCAAGUCUCUACCAAUAUGUUCUUCUUAUCAUCCUGGUCUCAUCUUUGGUGUAUUGUAGGAAUAACUCACGAUUGAAUUCUUCUUGAUAUGUGGAAUUCUUUGGUGCCAUUAUUUAUUUUUGUUUUUAUGUUCAUACCUACAAUAAUAGCUAAUGAAAUUGUUUUCUUUGCAUUUAUAUUGCUGAGUUGCUUGCUGAUGUGCAAAACUUAGUUCGGUUGCAACUAUUUCCAUGUUGUGCCAGGAUUAUAAAAUAAGAUUUGUUUUCUUUUCUAUUUUUUAGUUUUGGAUAUCCGAUGAUACAUAUUUAUGUAAAAUUCUAAUAAUAGUUGUAUACAUAUAUGUGUUGCCCACCAUGGUGCAACAGUCACUCGAUCUGCUACUUUUAGCUAGCCUGGCUCUUCAUCAUGAUAAAUUGAUAUUCUUUUUAGACUGUCAUGUCUGGACUUUUUCAAAUGAUGUAAAAAAACUUGCUAAUCAAAUUGAUGGUUUAGGCAAACUGAAGUGGCAUAUUUUCUGAACACAGGUUGGUAUGUCUUUGUAAGCGUGGAGAGACUUGUUAAAAUUUUAUGCCCUCUUUAUCUGGUGCUCUUAGUCAGUAACUAUUGUUAUUGUUCUAACUGAGGCACUAUGUAAAAUAUACACAUAGUUGGAAUAUCAUGUCUGGACUUUUUCAAAUGAAUGUAAAAGAACUUGCAAAUUAAAAUUGAUGGUUUACAGUGGCCAAACCGAAGUGACAUUUUCUCAACACAGGUUGGACUGUCAUUGUAAGUGUGAAGAAGGCUGGCUGUUGAGAGUUUAUGUUGUCUUUAUCUGGUGCUCUUCAAUUUUUCUAUUCAAAAUAAUUAGUCACUGAGAGCAGCACAGUGAAUAAUAUACACAUGGUUUGUCUGAUUUCACUCUUAUCUUUACAUCCUUAGCUGCUAUUGUUUGUGCGCCUGUGGGUUCAGAUGAUGACCUUUUAGACAUAAAAAUUACUAACAUAUAUUUUUCUGUUAUUUGUUGUUGAUCUAAUUUACUGGGACCACUAGAUAUGGGUGGAGCACGUUCCUGGGCUCUGUACGGUGAUUAUCCCGAAUGUCAGCGUUCUAAGUAAAAAAAAAAUACUCUGAGAAAUCUUAGUUCUAUAUUUGGCCGAGCAAGAAUGGUGUGAUUACCUUUUUAAUUCAUUAUCUACUGCCAUUGCCAAACAAGUAUUCCUUUCAGUGUCUCAUAAAUAACUACCCUAAACCCUAAACUUUGAACAGGUGAAUACUGGUUAUUAGUCUGCUUUUACUAUUGGUUUAGGAUGUGUACUUCUGUUAUAUUGUAAGAGUGCUGGGUUUCACUCCUAAUCGCCAGUGGUUUGGUGCCUCUUAUACACUGGAAAUCAGCCAACCCACAUCCUACUUUCCCACUACACGAGUCAUGCAUGUGCAGACAACCUAAUUUCUCUAAUGAGGAAGUGUAUCUCAGGUCUGUUUAGAAAUCCUUGCAAAGACUGUUCUUCUACUGAUGUCCUUCCCUGUGUAUCUUCCAGGUAAUAAAUUAAAUCUUAUUGCAAUGAACGGAACCAAUGAGGCUGGAUUUAUGCUUUGUGAAGGGAGGGGAGAACAGGCCAUCGGAUUCCAAGGCUUACUGCAUGGAAAUGUCCACAAAAGCAGCCGCGCUGCAAUUACUCAUACUCCUUAUGAACUGAAUUGUAUCCUUUACUCCUCUUGCUUCGUUGCAUCUUUAUAACAAUCUCCUGCCCGAUUGACAAUGGUCUCACCGGAUUAUAUGGAAGGCAAGGUACCCAAAGUUUGUAGUGCUACUCUAGACCAAAUAUUGAGCUAUAGUUGAAACACCUGUGAUAUA